GUAGUAUUUCCCUAACUCGACCUUUCUUGAAGCCAACCCUAAGAACAACUGUUCUUGGGGCUGGAGAAGCUGGUAGAGAAAUCUGGAUCAAGGGACUUAGAAGGAAAAUAGGGAUGUUACAUUGUCUAAUGGACUUCCACAUUGCUUGGUCUUCUACAAUAUGGCAGAUCUAGAAGGCCAGAAACAAUGUGGUAUUCAACCAUGGGGAUUCCAUCCUUCAUAGUACAAUGACUUGCAUUGUUGCUUCUAUUGUGGAGGGGAACAUCUUUCUAGCAUCUCAGAGUACAAAUGUUGGGUGUCCUAUUGUUGAUAAUCUACCUUUUCGAACUCUGGAGGUUCAUUUUGUUAUAUCCACAGAUGGUGCUUGGCGAUCUAUAACUCACAAGGGAGGUUGUGGUGUUGUGAUCGGGGACCAUGAGGGCAGGUUUAUUAUAGCUAAAAGCAAGCCUGGGACUAGUGCUUCUGCUGCAGCUAUGGAAGCUGAAGCUUUGCGUGAUGGAAUUCUUCUUGCCCACGUGUUAGAUCUUCCUGCUUUAGUUGUUUUAAGUGACGGUCAAUCUAUCAUUAGGGGCUUGACUUGUAAUAUCUCUUCCCUCGACUGGACAACGAGAGUAAUAGUUGAGGACAUCAUGUCUUUGUUGUCUUUCUUUAGUUUUGUUGGUUUUCAUUUUUCUCCCCGGUCAAACAACUGGGAAGCUCAUAAUUUAACCUAGGGUGCUUCUUUGUUAGGAAUCUCCUAGGUCUGGUGGCUCAAUCCGCCAAUUUGUCUUGUAAAUAACUGUUCUCCUGGAAGGACUUUGUCCUCUCUUGAUUUUCUCUAA